GAUGAACGCUAGCGGCAGGCCUAAUACAUGCAAGUCGGACGGGAUCCAGCUGGUAGCUUGCUACCGGUUGGUGAGAGUGGCGCACGGGUGCGUAACGCGUGAGCAACCUACCCAUAUCAGGGGGAUAGCCCGAAGAAAUUCGGAUUAACACCGCAUGACACAGAUUUACCGCAUGGUUUAUUUGUCAAAUAUUCAUAGGAUAUGGAUGGGCUCGCGUGACAUUAGCUAGUUGGUGGGGUAACGGCCCACCAAGGCGACGAUGUCUAGGGGCUCUGAGAGGAGAAUCCCCCACACUGGUACUGAGACACGGACCAGACUCCUACGGGAGGCAGCAGUAAGGAAUAUUGGUCAAUGGGGGCAACCCUGAACCAGCCAUGCCGCGUGCAGGAUGACUGCCCUAUGGGUUGUAAACUGCUUUUGUUAGGGAAUAAACCCCACUACGUGUAGUGGGCUGAAUGUACCUAAAGAAUAAGGAUCGGCUAACUCCGUGCCAG
rnacentral:rRNA from 1 species